rnacentral:rRNA from 1 species
UACAGAGGUCUCAAGCGUUGUUCGGAUUCAUUGGGCGUAAAGGGUGCGUAGGCGGCGCGGUAAGUCGGGUGUGAAAUUUCGAGGCUUAACUUCGAAACUGCAUUCGAUACUGCCGUGCUUGAGGACUGGAGAGGAGACUGGAAUUUACGGUGUAGCGGUGAAAUGCGUAGAUAUCGUAAGGAAGACCAGUGGCGAAGGCGGGUCUCUGGACAGUUCCUGACACUGAGGUGCGAAAGCGUGGGGAGCAAACAGG